rnacentral:rRNA from 1 species
GACGAACGCUGGCGGCGUGCUUAACACAUGCAAGUCGAACGAAGUGGCGAACGGGUGAGUAACGCGUAAUCAACCUGCCCUUCAGAGGGGGACAACAGUUGGAAACGACUGCUAAUACCGCAUACUGAAGGAGGGGAUUGCGUCUGAUUGGCUAGGUGGAGGGGUAACGGCCCACCAAGGCGAUGAUCAGGAGCCGGUCUUGGUGGGGGAACGGCCAAAAUGGGACUGAGACACGGCCCAGACGCCUACGGGAGGCAGCAGUGGGGAAUCUUCCGAAAUGGACGGAAGUCUGACGGAGCAACGCCGCGGGAGUGAUGACGGCCUUCGGGUUGGAAAGCUCUGUUAAUCGGGACGCGGUACCGGAAUAGAAAGCCACGGCUAACUACGUGCCAGCAGCCGCGGUAAUUC